UAUCCUCCCAGCAAAGAGUUUGAUGCAAAACUACGGGAUGAGGAAGCUAGAAGACAAGGAGCUACUGGAGGCAAGGGCCAGAGACCUGACAUUGACAGAAGAGGAACUAGAGAAUCUCGAGCAAUCCCAGCACCAGAUGCCAAUGCUGAAUUAGUCUUAUCAAUGCAGAAAAGACAAGGUCAGUCAAAUUCUAAGAGCCGGAGUGAGAAGUUUAACCCUCAUCCAGAAGAUGUAGCUUCUGGUUUUCCAAUUGAUCCACCUAGACCAUCACAAGUUGUGGAAUCGAGUGUAGAUCCACAUGGGCAGCAGCAUAAGAAAGCCUCCCAUUCUGGGCCAUUGGCCCACCGUUCUGCUUGGGCAAAGGCUGGUAGAACCCUAGAUGAUGCUCCAAAAGUUUCUACUGGGGCUGACUUGUCAACAAUGUCAGGCUUAGUGGCAGCAAGAAGGAGUUUAUUAUCUGAAGACCACAGAGAAAGGUCUGGCCCAUCACAGCCAGAAGUUCCUAAAUUAAUGGCGAGGUUUCCAGGGUCCUUCAAGGAAGCCUCGGAAUCCCUUGUCCAGGAUCAAAAGCAUUACUCUCAGGGCAUCGCAAGCUCUCACCAA
rnacentral:misc_RNA from 1 species